UACAGAGGGGGCAAGCGUUGUUCGGAAUUACUGGGCGUAAAGGGCGCGUAGGCGGCCUGCUAAGUCGAACGUGAAAUCCCUGGGCUCAACCCAGGAACUGCGUCCGAUACUGGUUGGCUUGAAUCCGGGAGAGGGAUGUGGAAUUCCGGGUGUAGUGGUGAAAUGCGUAGAUAUCGGGAGGAACACCUGUGGCGAAGGCGGCCACCUGGUUGGAUACUGACGCUGAGACGCGAAAGCGUGGGGAGCAAACAGG
rnacentral:rRNA from 1 species